AAGAAAAUCCGUUGGCUUUUUAGACCGUGAGGGUUCAAGUCCCUCUACCC
rnacentral:tRNA from 10 species